CAGUCGCCGCGGUAACACGUAGGUGGCAAGCGUUAUCCGGAAUUAUUGGGCGUAAAGCGCGCGUAGGCGGUUUUUUAAGUCUGAUGUGAAAGCCCACGGCUCAACCGUGGAGGGUCAUUGGAAACUGGAAAACUUGAGUGCAGAAGAGGAAAGUGGAAUUCCAUGUGUAGCGGUGAAAUGCGCAGAGAUAUGGAGGAACACCAGUGGCGAAGGCGACUUUCUGGUCUGUAACUGACGCUGAUGUGCGAAAGCGUGGGGAUCAAACAGGAUUAGAUACCCCCGUAGUCCCUGUCUCUUAUAC
rnacentral:rRNA from 1 species